rnacentral:rRNA from 1 species
GUUGGCGGGGUAACGGCCCACCAAGGCGACGAUCAGCAGGGGUUCUGAGAGGAAGGUCCCCCACAUUGGAACUGAGACACGGUCCAAACUCCUACGGGAGGCAGCAGUGAGGAAUAUUGGUCAAUGGGCGAGAGCCUGAACCAGCCAAGUAGCGUGCAGGAUGACGGCCCUAUGGGUUGUAAACUGCUUUUAUAAGGGAAUAAAGUGAGUCUCGUGAGACUUUUUGCAUGUACCUUAUGAAUAAGGACCGGCUAAUUCCGUGCCAGCAGCCGCGGUAAUACGGAAGGUCCGGGCGUUAUCCGGAUUUAUUGGGUUUAAAGGGAGCGUAGGCCGGAGAUUAAGCGUGUUGUGAAAUGUAGACGCUCAACGUCUGCACUGCAGCGCGAACUGGUUUCCUUGAGUACGCACAAAGUGGGCGGAAUUCGUGGUGUAGCGGUGAAAUGCUUAGAUAUCACGAAGAACUCCGAUUGCGAAGGCAGCUCACUGGAGCGCAACUGACGCUGAAGCUCGAAAGUGCGGGUAUCGAACAGGAUUAGAUACCCUGGUAGUCCGCACGGUAAACGAUGGAUGCCCGCUGUUGGUCUGAAUGGGUCAGCGGCCAAGCGAAAGCAUUAAGCAUCCCACCCUGGGGAGUA